rnacentral:misc_RNA from 1 species
GAAAUGCGAUAAGUAAUGUGAAUUGCAGAAUUCAGUGAAUCAUCGAAUCUUUGAACGCACAUUGCGCCCGCCAGUAUUCUGGCGGGCAUGCCUGUUCGAGCGUCAUUACAACCCUCAGGCCCCCGGGCCUGGCGUUGGGGAUCGGCGGAAGCCCCCUGCGGGCACAACGCCGUCCCCCAAAUACAGUGGCGGUCCCGCCGCAGCUUCCAUUGCGUAGUAGCUAACACCUCGCAACUGGAGAGCGGCGCGGCCACGCCGUAAAACACCCAACUUCUGAAUGUUGACCUCGAAUCAGGUAUGAAUACCCGCUGAACUUAAGC